rnacentral:lncRNA from 1 species
AUGGAGGGGCAGGGCGGCCAGCCGCGGGACCCGGCGAGCCAGGACUGGGAGGAGAGGAGGAGGGCGGAGGAGCAGAAGAGGAGAGAGGAGGAGAGGAAGGAGCGGGAGGCCAACGACGGCAAACAGGAAGUGAGGAUCAUAGUGACGUCGGAGAGUAGGCAGGAAGGAGAGCAGGAGGAAGGCGCCACGGGCAGCGGCGCCGGCCUCCCCGGCGACCCGGACGAGGAGACGGGCCGGGAGUCGCCGUGGUACCACACCGACCCCCGGGUCACCAGCAGCUUCUCCAGCCUGUCCAGCGGCUCCAUCAGCACCGCCCUGGAGGAGAGCGGCUCCGGAGCCAGACCCCCGUCCCGCCUGGAGGCCCUCCGCAGCCAGCGGGCCGGCGAGGGGCUGGCCACCCUGGACGUCCACCACCCCUACAUCCUGGACCCCCAGCGGCCCCCAGCGGAGGGUCAGGACCCCGCCCGGGCCCUGAGACCCACCAACCUCAAUUACCGCGGCAACGACAACGCCUGCCUGUGCUUCGCCGACCUCUCCAAGGGGGACUUCCUGUCCAGUCCGUCGGGUGCCACCACCGACGACGACGACGAUGAGGACGACGAGGACGAGGACGACGAAGACGAGGCAGCGGGGCAGCUCAGGCGUAUCUCGAGGAUCCCCAGCUGUAAGGAUCUCCGGAUGAUCGACAACAUCCCGUUCGAGAAGUCGCUGAGUAGCAAAACGAAAAAGAAAAUGCCGCCCAGAGUCCCAGUGAGGACCAGUUCAAUCCCGGGCAAUAAACCAGACCUCAAGCCAGCGGAGCAUCGUCUGUCUGCGACCGAGGAGGGACUCUUCCUCACUCCGUCACCCAAUCCUAAACCAGCACUGGGGGGCAAAGAGGUCUCAGAGUCUGAGGAUGAGUUCUUCGAUGCACAAGAGAGAAUUACCCCCCCAGUUCCAGACCUUUCAGGUACGUUUUAUUUCAUAGGAUUUAUUUCUGCUAUGCUUAAAGAUCUUAGAUAG